AAUUGGAAUCUUAGGAAUUUAAACCUCUUCCAGAGUAUCAAUUGGAGGGCAAGUCUGGUGCCAGCAGCCGCGGUAAUUCCAGCUCCAAUAGCGUAUAUUAAAAUUGUUGCAGUUAAAAAGCUCGUAGUUGAACUUCUGCUGCAUUGCCUUUUCUCCUUGAUGAGUUGAUGCAUUGCGGCUUAUUUCGGUCAUGGUUUUCCUUGUCCGGAUGUUUACUUUGAGAAAAUUAGAGUGCUCAAAGCAGGCUUUUGCCUUGAAUAGUUUAGCAUGGAAUAAUAAAGUAGGACUUUGGUUCUAUUUUGUUGGUUUUGUGUACCAAAGUAAUGGUUAAUAGGAACAGUUGGGGGCAUUCGUAUUUAACUGUCAGAGGUGAAAUUCUUAGA
rnacentral:rRNA from 1 species